GAAAGCGAUGCUAGUACCGGAUAAUAUCAAGAAAAUCUCGGUUUUCUUGAUCAAAGGUGGCCUCUACAUGUAAGCUUCCGAUUGGAGAUGAGCCCGCGUACCAUUAGCUUGUUGGUGGGGUAACGGCCUACCAAGGCUGCGAUGGUUAGCUGGUCUGAGAGGAUGAUCAGCCACACUGGAACUGACACACGGUCCAGACUCCUACGGGAGGCAGCAGUGAGGAAUUUUGCGCAAUGGGGGAAACCCUGACGCAGCAACGCCGCGUGAGUGAUGAAGGCUUUCGGGUCGUAAAGCUCUGUCGAGUGGGAAGAAAAACCAGACACCAAUAAUAUCUGGGACUGACGGUACCACUGAAGGAAGCACCGGCUAACUCCGUGCCAGCAGCCGCGGUAAUACGGGGGGUGCAAGCGUUAUUCGGAAUCAUUGGGCGUAAAGAGCGCGUAGGCGGCCCUAUAAGUCAAAUGUGAAAGCCCCGGGNCUUAACCCCGG
rnacentral:rRNA from 1 species